GGGCGGAUAGCUCAGUUGGUAGAGCGCUCGCUUAGCAUGUUUCUACUUGCGUGAGGUCCUGGGUUCAAUUCCCAGUUCGUCCA
rnacentral:tRNA from 1 species